CACUAUCGUUAACUGAAUACAUAGGUUAACGAGGCGAACCGGGGGAACUGAAACAUCUAAGUACCCCGAGGAAAAGAAAUCAACCGAGAUUCCCCCAGUAGCGGCGAGCGAACGGGGAGCAGCCCAGAGUCUGAAUCAGCUUGUGUGUUAGUGGAACGGUCUGGAAAGUCCGACGGUACAGGGUGAUAGUCCCGUACACCAAAAUGCACAGGUUGUGAACUCGAAGAGUAGGGCGGGACACGUGGUAUCCUGUCUGAAUAUGGGGGGACCAUCCUCCAAGGCUAAAUACUCCUGACUGACCGAUAGUGAACCAGUACCGUGAGGGAAAGGCGAAAAGAACCCCGGCGAGGGGAGUGAAAAAGAACCUGAAACCGUGUACGUACAAGCAGUGGGAGCACCCUUUUGGGUGUGACUGCGUACCUUUUGUAUAAUGGGUCAGCGACUUAUAUUCUGUAGCAAGGUUAACCGUAUAGGGGAGCCGCAGGGAAACCGAGUCUUAACUGGGCGUUAAGUUGCAGGGUAUAGACCCGAAACCCGGUGAUCUAGCCAUGGGCAGGUUGAAGGUUGGGUAACACUAACUGGAGGACCGAACCGACUAAUGUUGAAAAAUUAGCGGAUGACUUGUGGCUGGGGGUGAAAGGCCAAUCAAACCGGGAGAUAGCUGGUUCUCCCCGAAAGCUAUUUAGGUAGCGCCUCGUGAAUUCAUCUUCGGGGGUAGAGCACUGUUUCGGCUAGGGGGUCAUCCCGACUUACCAACCCGAUGCAAACUACGAAUACCGAAGAAUGUUAUCACGGGAGACACACGGCGGGUGCUAACGUCCGUCGUGAAGAGGGAAACAACCCAGACCGCCAGCUAAGGUCCCAAAGUCAUGGUUAAGUGGGAAACGAUGUGGGAAGGCACAGACAGCCAGGAUGUUGGCUUAGAAGCAGCCAUCAUUUAAAGAAAGCGUAAUAGCUCACUGGUCGAGUCGGCCUGCGCGGAAGAUGUAACGGGGCUAAACCAUGCACCGAAGCUGCGGCAGCGACACUAUGUGUUGUUGGGUAGGGGAGCGUUCUGUAAGCCUGCGAAGGUGACCUGUGAGGGUUGCUGGAGGUAUCAGAAGUGCGAAUGCUGACAUAAGUAACGAUAAAGCGGGUGAAAAGCCCGCUCGCCGGAAGACCAAGGGUUCCUGUCCAACGUUAAUCGGGGCAGGGUGAGUCGACCCCUAAGGCGAGGCCGAAAGGCGUAGUCGAUGGGAAACAGGUUAAUAUUCCUGUACUUGGUGUUACUGCGAAGGGGGGACGGAGAAGGCUAUGUUAGCCGGGCGACGGUUGUCCCGGUUUAAGCAUGUAGGCGGAGGUUCCAGGUAAAUCCGGUACCUUUUAACGCUGAGGUGUGAUGACGAGGCACUACGGUGCUGAAGUAACAAAUGCCCUGCUUCCAGGAAAAGCCUCUAAGCAUCAGGUAACAUUAAAUCGUACCCCAAACCGACACAGGUGGUCAGGUAGAGAAUACCAAGGCGCUUGAGAGAACUCGGGUGAAGGAACUAGGCAAAAUGGUGCCGUAACUUCGGGAGAAGGCACGCUGAUAGGUAGGUGAAGCCCCUGCGGGUGGAGCUGAAAUCAGUCGAAGAUACCAGCUGGCUGCAACUGUUUAUUAAAAACACAGCACUGUGCAAACACGAAAGUGGACGUAUACGGUGUGACGCCUGCCCGGUGCCGGAAGGUUAAUUGAUGGGGUUAUCCGUAAGGAGAAGCUCUUGAUCGAAGCCCCGGUAAACGGCGGCCGUAACUAUAACGGUCCUAAGGUAGCGAAAUUCCUUGUCGGGUAAGUUCCGACCUGCACGAAUGGCGUAAUGAUGGCCAGGCUGUCUCCACCCGAGACUCAGUGAAAUUGAACUCGCUGUGAAGAUGCAGUGUACCCGCGGCAAGACGGAAAGACCCCGUGAACCUUUACUAUAGCUUGACACUGAACAUUGAGCCUUGAUGUGUAGGAUAGGUGGGAGGCUUUGAAGCGUGGACGCCAGUCUGCGUGGAGCCAACCUUGAAAUACCACCCUUUAAUGUUUGAUGUUCUAACGUAGACCCCUAAUCGGGGUUGCGGACAGUGUCUGGUGGGUAGUUUGACUGGGGCGGUCUCCUCCCAAAGAGUAACGGAGGAGCACGAAGGUUAGCUAAUCCUGGUCGGACAUCAGGAGGUUAGUGCAAUGGCAUAAGCUAGCUUGACUGCGAGCGUGACGGCGCGAGCAGGUGCGAAAGCAGGUCAUAGUGAUCCGGUGGUUCUGAAUGGAAGGGCCAUCGCUCAACGGAUAAAAGGUACUCCGGGGAUAACAGGCUGAUACCGCCCAAGAGUUCAUAUCGACGGCGGUGUUUGGCACCUCGAUGUCGGCUCAUCACAUCCUGGGGCUGAAGUAGGUCCCAAGGGUAUGGCUGUUCGCCAUUUAAAGUGGUACGCGAGCUGGGUUUAGAACGUCGUGAGACAGUUCGGUCCCUAUCUGCCGUGGGCGCUGGAGAAUUGAGGGGGGCUGCUCCUAGUACGAGAGGACCGGAGUGGACGCAUCACUGGUGUUCGGGUUGUCAUGCCAAUGGCAUUGCCCGGUAGCUAAAUGCGGAAGAGAUAAGUGCUGAAAGCAUCUAAGCACGAAACUUGCCCCGAGAUGAGUUCUCCCUGAGACUUUAAGUCUCCUGAAGGAACGUUGAAGACGACGACGUUGAUAGGCCGGGUGUGUAAGCGCAGCGAUGCGUUGAGCUAACCGGUACUAAUGAACCGUGAGGCUUAACCUUACAACGCCGAAG
rnacentral:rRNA from 1 species